AGGACUAACGCUGGCGGCGUGCCUAACACAUGCAAGUCGAGCGGGGUAGCAAUACCCAGCGGCAGACGGGUGAGUAACGCGUGGUCAACCUUCCGUUGAAUGGGGGAUAACUAGCCGAAAGGUUAGCUAAUACCGCAUACGAUCUUUUGAAGGCAUCUUUAAAAGAUGAAAGGAGCAAUUCGUUCAACGACGGGACCGCGUCCCAUUAGCUAGAUGGUGGGGUAAUGGCCUACCAUGGCAACGAUGGGUAGCUGGUUUGAGAGAGCGACCAGCCACACUGGGACUGAGAAACGGCCCAGACUCCUACGGGAGGCAGCAGUGAUGAAUUUUCCGCAAUGGGCGAAAGCCUGACGGAGCGACGCCGCGUGUGGGAAGAAGGCCUUCGGGUCGUAACCACUGUCGAAGGGACGAUAAUGACGGUACCUUGGAGGAAGCCCGGCUAACUACGUGCCAGCAGCCGC
rnacentral:rRNA from 1 species